rnacentral:rRNA from 1 species
UACGAACCGUGCGAACGUUGUUCGGAAUCACUGGGCUUAAAGGGCGCGUAGGCGGCUUGCCAAGUCGGGGGUGAAAUCCGGCAGCUUAACUGUCGAAGUGCCUUCGAUACUGGCAAGCUCGAGGGAGGUAGGGGUCUGUGGAACUUCUGGUGGAGCGGUGAAAUGCGUUGAUAUCAGAAGGAACGCCGGUGGCGAAAGCGACGGACUGGACCUCCUCUGACGCUGAGGCGCGAAAGCUAGGGGAGCAAACGGG